GGCUAAGAAGCCAUGUUUAAUCACAUGGUGAGUUGUUAUUGAGCUUGGAAUCCUGAACCUGCUUUAGAGUUGUGAUUUAAUUUUGCUUCGUGAUUGAACAGAGGCGACGUAGUGGAAAGCCCCAACUGUGCUUACUAGGGACGGUACUGAUCCCGAUGUUCCCUCCCACGGAGUCCCAGGCUCACCUGUGCCCUUCACCUGGAAGUCUGUGCGUCGCUGCAGUGUGGAUGGCAGCUCGUUCAGCCGUAGGCUCAGCUGCCGUUUGAAAGGGGCCUCUCGCUCAGUCGGCCGUCCGCCACCCGACAGGCGGAAGGAGCCCUCGCGGGCGAAGCUGGUGCGGCUGGCAUCGAAGGCGGCCGUGACCCCGCAUUCCUUCUCCCGCCGCUGUUUCCGCUCCAGGCAGGCGGCGAAGGCACAGCCCACGGCAUGGCUCAGCCUCUCGCCCUGUGGGAAGAGGGGUCAGGCCGGGCUUGGAGAGGUGGCAUUGUGCCGGCUGGAGGCAGAAGCCCUGGUGCCACCAGCUCAGUGUCAGGUCAUCCUGGACCAGUCCCCUGCACCCGUGCCUGCCCAGAGCCUCAGACUGCAUCUGCACCCAGAGGGAAACAGGACAGCUCGGAGAGAAAAAAAAAGCCAGAAACAAGAGUGCAGUGCCGUAUGGCUCUCUUGAUAGGAAGUUCAAGAACCAGUAAAACUAAUCUGUGGUGAAAAAA